GUCCUCUCAGGGUCACACCUGGAGAGUUUCCAGUACUCUACCAGUCUCGACUACAGAAGGGAGAGUCCAGCAGUGUCAUACCCACUCCAUUCCUAGCUUGGCCAGUGGCUAACAAGUGGAAGGCAAUCUGCUACAAGU